rnacentral:rRNA from 1 species
CCUACGGGAGGCAGCAGUGAGGAAUAUUGGUCAAUGGGCGUACGCCUGAACCAGCCAAGUCGCGUGAGGGAAGACGGUCCUAUGGAUUGUAAACCUCUUUUGUCAGGGAGCAAAGCCCGCUACGAGUGCCUGGACUGAGAGUACCUGAAGAAAAAGCAUCGGCUAACUCCGUGCCAGCAGCCGCGGUAAUACGGAGGAUGCGAGCGUUAUCCGGAUUUUUUGGGUUUAAAGGGUGCGGAGGCGGAAUGUCAAGUCAGCGGUAAAAGCCCGGGGCUCAACCCCGCCCCGCCGUUGAAACUGGCGGUCUUGAGUGGGCGAGAGGUAUGCGGAAUGCGCGGUGUAGCGGUGAAAUGCAUAGAUAUCGCGCAGAACUCCGAUUGCGAAGGCAGCAUACCG